CUCCUCGGUUCCAGUCGGCGGCCGGGCCGUGUCGCAGCCUCGUCUGGGGGAGGAGGCGCGGCGGCACCCGGCAUAUUGGCAUCAGUAUAUAGCAUUUUGAAAGAAACUUUGGGGUACUGGACAAGUUAUAUCUAUUACAUGUGAAGAGCCCCAUCCAUAAAGAAGUUUCAAACAGACAUCUCUGGACUGCUUUUAGAAGAGGGCAAAAGUGGUAGAAGCCUGAUGGUAUAAAUGAGAAGAUUUAGGAAAUGAGGUGAUCAGAAGAAUAUCACAGGACUAAGUAUAAAAUAAAACCUGAUGUUCUCCAUUCAAAAUUCAAAUGGAGUAGAAAAAGCUGCAUUCACCUUUAUUAAUUUAGGUUCUAAAACAAACAAAAACCCUCCAAACUUCUAUUAGUAUUUGUUUAGAUGAGACAUUUUUCAUUAAACUGCUUACUUAAAGAAAACUCAGAUGAGGAUAGCAUCAAAAUAUAUAGCCUGUAUAUCCUGACUCAACAUUCCUCUAGGCUGGACAGUCAACUUUAGUACUUCUGUACGAACAUCCAGUUUUUCAUAGUAUAAGUAAUGAGCUAAAUUCUUCACAACUAUAAACACGGAACAACAUGUACAUUUUAAAUCAAGAAAUAAAUGAAACAUUUACACUGUGUAGUCUAAGUGAGGAUUCCUGAACUAUGUGUGAAAAAAAAUUUAAAUGGAAAGAUCAUACUUUCAAGUGUAAUUCAGUCUACGCAUAUAUAACAAUCUUUCUGAACCUAUUUUCAUUUAAGUACAUUUUAUGCUGUACUAUACUUUAAAUAUGAGUUUUAUAACAUGACUUUUACAAUUAAUGUCUUUACCGAUGUGUUAUCCCUUAUUUAACGGACUUCUUUAUGCAAACAUUAUUCAAACACAAAUACAUUUUCUGUAUAAAUUCUGCAGGGCAAAAUGAAAUUAAAAUGGCAUGCUCACCAAAACAAAUUAUACGUUCACAUUCUACUCAAAGACACAUUCUUCUUUGGGGCGUUUAACUAGUCUGUAAACACAAUUACCAGAAAUAAUAAAACUGGUAAGAUCAUAGCUUACCUUUUAAGACGGUAGAUUCGUUAAGAGGAACAAUUAGGGAUUCAGAUUUUGAAUUAUUUUUCCCAAUGAGAAAAGUCAAGAUAGUAAAAGAAGGCAAAUAAGGGCUUUUGUAUGCUGCCUCUAUGCUUGGGAGCAAGUGAGAAGGAAACCGCUCCAAUACAUUAGGGAAAACAGUCUAAUGGCAGAGAAAAUAUAAACAUUGCCCAAAGAAAUGCAGGAGAAACAAACACUUUGACCAGAAGAGAGUGAUCACUAGGGUAGCCUGGAGUAAGACUGACUUAACUCUGGAAAUGUAGAGAAACAGAAAUGGAACCACAGAAAGUACAAAAGUAAUGAGUAAAUACAGGAAAAUAUCUAGUGGAUGGAAGUAUAAAAAGUGUUUUAUGUGGCAUGUAUAUAUAUUUUCCUGUCAGGAAAAUUUAUAUUUUGAAUGUUGCGAGGUUAUUAUAAUUUAUGGAUCCAUUCAGAAGGCUGUGUUUAAAAUUGGAAAUACAUUACAUGUUUUGACUAGUGGAUUGUCUCUGUCAGAAAAACUAUAUGAUAGCAUCAAAUAUUUGGAUGCAUUCUAUUUACAAAGAUCGUGCAUAUGUGCCUUUCCUCUGAAACCAAGGGAAAAUUUCACUCAUGAAGUCUCAAGUCCUUUUUGGUUGAUAGUCACCUUAAAUCUCUCUAGCUCCAUUUUACUUAGAGCUAUGAGAGUGCUUGUUCCGGUCUGCGUCUGGGGUUCUGUGUCUUCUCUGCAUCUGUUUCUAUGGCAUUUUACAUCUUUUUUCUCACACAUGCCUAUCCUCAAAAUAAUACCCAACAAAACAUGUGCCGCCCACAUGUGCCUUUGUUUUGGGUGGUGACAUGCACCCAUAUUCUGGUGGAGGCUGUUCUUAUUCAACAAAGUUUUAACUGCUUCUUACAGUGAUUUUAAAGAGCACUGCUCAUGACCACUAGCUGCAAUAUAUUUUAUCUAGCAUCAAUACUAUGGAUAACAGGCUACCUUAAUGUGUUGAAAUAUCUCCACAGACAACAGACAAGCAAAAGCACAGGUAUACAUAGUACAGCCUGUUUAGGACAGUCACUAUGUCUUCUUUUAUAUGAGUACAAUACUUACACAGGAUUGCAAUCUUUAUGAAGAAUACAGCAGAUAAAGUAGGCAAAUCCACAAAAUGUUCAGUAGUAACUUAAAACUAUAAAUUAACAUAAAUUAACAAUUCUGUACGUACUAGUGCUCUUUCAUUCCAGUGCUCUUUCAUUAUAGUCAAGAUUUGUAAAUAAUUUCCUCUUAUCUGUAACCUCUCAGAAAACUGUGCAUGCUUAUCAUUUUGUUUUUCCAAACAUGUAUCUCUUAGGCCAAGAUUUUCUAUGCUGUUCUACUCUACGAGGAUGAAAGUAUGAAUUAUGUUUAGGGAACCUAAGUGAAGUCACGUAGAUAUUUUAAAACAGACAGAGGGCAAAUGUAAAAAUGUGAACAUUGAAAAACUAGAAUCAUAGAUCAUGUUGCAGAAAAGGACAUUUUUCAUAAAUAGAUUGUUUUGACUUGAUUUUUAAGUUAUGUCUACUUAAAUUCCAUGUUAACUAUUCCUAAAAGGUAUAUUCUUCUCUCGAUCUUUUUUUUUUUUCUGCAACAGAGUUGCAUCACGUAGGCAGAUAUAUCUAUCAGUAUGUAAUUGCAUUGUAAAAGCUUAGGCAGCUUCUCCAAGUCAACAAUUCAAUUUUCUGGACGACCUAUUGUCCCCAUCAGAAGUUUAAAAAAAAAAAAAAAAAAGGCUUUGUGCCUUUGGUGUUGGAAGUCUGUGAGAAAUUAAAUCUGUGACAAGUUAAUACUGCUUUCUGGCCCACUAAUGAAGCACCCACACAUCUUCUGAAGUGCUGACAAAGCAGAUGGACUGAUGUUUGUCCCUAUGGCCACACUGGGAAUCAAGCUGCCAAUUGUGUCCAGUUAUAAAAUGGAAACAUCCUUUUUUUUUCCCCUUUUUGGAGAAAAGAAUGUGUAAGAGGAAUAUUCAUCAUUUGGAAACUACCUAGUGAUGUCGUAUUUAUCUUUACUCCUUUUCCGUAUUUAGCUUAAAAACAAUGAAUUACAUUUUACUAUUUUUUAGCAACCACAUGUCUUCAGAUGAACCGGUAUAUAACUUGAUGGCCAAAUUCCAAUCAACUUUUUUUUUGUGAUGUUUUGUGGUUAAAAUAUUAGAUGAUGAAUUACUUCAAUAAAGAAUUAAUUGGAAAUACAAAGAUGAUUUAUCUCUAGGUGGGGCACCACAGUUCUCUGUUACUUGCCUUCAUUUUGACUAAUCAUUCUGAGGAGACAGCAUUAGGUGUGUCUCUAAAAUGUUAUGUAAAUGAAACUGCCACAAAACAUUCAGAGACACUGGAAAUAAUUUGUCUGAAAACUGUGUAUUAGUGUUCAAACAGACCUUGGCACAGACUAAAAGCAUGCCAGCGUGCACUCUCCCAAACAAUUCCUGGGCACAGUUUGGGAGUUAGUGUGAGUCAUGAACCAUUCCCAAUGGGCAGUAGAUGCAUGUGUCUAUCCUGUUAUGAUGAAUUAAGGAGUUUAAUAACGUAGGCAUGAAGUAUUAUGUGGCUGUUAGCCUCAACGCCAGACAACAUUCGCAGGCAUACAUAUAAUCUUUUAGUUUACAGGUAGUUGUUGAGUAUGUUGGCUGAGAUGCACUCAGUAUCUGAGGAAUGGAAAAGUUCUGCUUUCUUUGAAAGAAGCACUUUUUAGAGGCCUAAGCCCAAGAAGCUCUUUUAACAUACAUGAUUUAGAUAAUCAUCUCUCUGUCUUAAAUCUUACUUUUACUGGCAAGUUCAUUAAAAAGGGAGUGGCAAGGCAUUUUAAGCAUGAUAAGAUGUUCUCAUAUGUCUUUAAUCCAUACAUGAGUGACUGUUGGCUUGUGCUGAAUUGUCCUUUAGGCCAAUUUUUAACUUCUGUCCUUUGCCAGAAGAUGAAUGUCCAUGUUGACUUGGUGGCCCGUGACAGCAGUAUUGAUUUACCUUUACACCUUAAAAACUGGAAAAAAACAAACAAACAAACAAAAAACACCAAAAAUAAAUGUUUUUAUCCUUGUCUCAAAAUAUCCAUGUUAGCCUUCACAGCUCCUAUGAAAUUGCACAGAAUUUGUUAUGUAACUGACACGCAGUUAUGUCUCUAUUAUAAAACAUUGCAUUAAGUUGCUUUCCCAGUGCAUGUCCAAAAUGAGACUUUUGAGAGACUAAAGUUAUGAGGUUCAGGGUUUGGUUUUGUUUGUUUGUUUUUUAAGAGAGAAAAUGAAAAGAAAAAAGAAUUUGUAGGAAUCAGUACCUGCUUCCUUUCUGAAGUUCAUCUGUGGUGAAGUGUAUCCACAGAAAUGUCUCUCAGGAGCCUCUUCAGGUUUCAGAUUUUUUUCUAUGACAAUGUAUGAUAACUGAUCAUCCUUACAAAAACAACUAUUAUUUGGUCUUUUCUUGUGGCCCUUAUACAAUACUGGGAAAGGCUACUUGUCCAGAAGAAUAAUCCAUCAGUGACUUCUUUUUCUGUUACAUAGUACAUUUUACUAUUAUAUUAUAGUUUAAAAUACGUCUUUCACAUUGUCCGUAUUUUAACUUUAUUCAAAAUCUCUAGUGCUUUGAAUAAUCAGGAACUGACUGUAACAUUCAAGUGAAAAUACUUGGGUUAAAUCUUCUAUCAUUUUCUUCCACAGAAAACUUUUUUACUAGUAUAUAUUUCAAAAGAUGUAUCUCCCACAUAAUUCAUAUCCUGUCCUUGUACAAACAGAAGCACAUUCUUAACACCAUAGAGAGGAUGCAAGCUUAUAAUUUAGAAGAAAUUGAAAAAUGAAAUAGUAUUAUUUCAUGUUGUGAAAUUCUUGUUGGAAAUUUAUGCUAAAUACUUAGAAUGAGGGGAAAAAUGUUACCACCGUCUGGCUUACGAAAAAGGAAAAAAAAUAAGUAGUCACCAUCAAGUUGUAAACUUGCAACAUGUAAUGGUACAGAUAUUUUACACCUCAAUAUGCAGGCUUCCUUGGCUCUUUAUUUUACCUUUACCACUUAAGGCCUGAUCUGACAUUCAGGCUGCUUACUUACUCACGAUGAAUAUUCCCCAGUGAAUUAAUUAUGUGGUGCUAUUAUUUGCUGCUGUGAUCUAAAGUUAAUGCAAAGAAUGUAAAUUUGUAUUACUUGUCAUACAGCAUUUGUCAUUACAUUCAUUCUACUCACUUCUGUAGUCCAGUCUUAACACCAAAUUCCCAAUAAUUUCAAUACUUAAAUUUAGGAUGAAAGCUAACAAUUACAUUACUAUAUAGUGAUUUCCCAUCAUUGUGUAGGAAACUUUGACUACGUGAAAAAUACACAACCGUAGAAUCACAGAGUGGUUUGGGUUGGAGGGGACCUUAAAGAUCACCCAGUUCCAAUGCCCCCGCCAUGGGCAGGGACACCUCCCACCAGACCAGGUUGCCC